AGAGUUUGAUCAUGGCUCAGGAUGAACGCUGGCGGCGUGUCUAAGGCAUGCAAGUCGUUUGCCACACCAUGUAGAGACGUAAAAUUUUACGUCUCUACAUGGUGUGCAAGGCAAACGGGAGAGUAACACAUUGGUAACCUACCCUGAGGUCGAGAAUAAUCCCGCGAAAGCGGGAAUAAUACUCGAUAAUAGUGGGGGGACAUAAGUCAUUCCCACUUAAAGCUCCGGCACCUCGGGAGGGGCCUAUGGCCUAUCAGCUUGUUGGUGGGGUAAAAGCCCACCAAGGCUUUGACGGGUAGCGGGUGUGAGAGCAUGGCCCGUCUCACUGGGACUGAGACACUGCCCAGACUCCUACGGGAGGCUGCAGUCGAGAAUCUUCCUCAAUGGCCGCAAGGCUGAAGGAGCGACGCCGCGUGCGGGAAGAAACCCUUCGGGGUGUAAACCGCUUUUUUCUCCGACGAAAUUCUGACGGUAGGAGAAGAAUAAGGAGCUGCUAACCUCGUGCCAGCAGCAGCGGUAAUACGAGGGCUCCAAGCGUUAUCCGGAUUUAUUGGGCGUAAAGGGUCCGUAGGCGGCCCGACACAUCUCCUGUUAAAUCCUCCGGCUCAACCGGAGGGCUGCGGGAGAGAUGGCCGGGCUAGAGGCCGGGAGAGGCGAGCGGAAUUGCCGGUGUAGGGGUUAAAUCCGUUAAUAUCGGCAAGAACACCAAAUGCGAAAGCAGCUCGCUGGAACGCGCCUGACGCUCAGGGACGAAAGCGUGGGGAGCGAAUGGGAUUAGAUACCCCAGUAGUCC
rnacentral:rRNA from 1 species